rnacentral:rRNA from 1 species
GCGUGCCUACGGGACGCAGCAGUGGGGAAUAUUGCACAAUGGGGGAAACCCUGAUGCAGCAACGCCGCGUGAGUGAGGAAGUAUUUCGGUAUGUAAAGCUCUAUCAGCAGGGAAUAGAAAAGAAGGUACCUGAAAAAGAAGCCCCGGCUAACUACGUGCCGGCAGCCGCGGUAAUACGUAGGGGGCAAGCGUUAUCCGGAUUUACUGGGUGUAAAGGGAGCGUAGACGGAAAGGCAAGUCAGAAGCGAAAGCCCAAGGCUCAAC